rnacentral:rRNA from 1 species
GAGUUUGAUCUUGGCUCAGAUUGAACGCUGGCGGCAUGCCUUACGCAUGCAAGUCGAACGGCAGCACGGGAGCUUAGCUCCUGGUGGCGAGUGGCGAACGGGUGAGUAAUGCAUCGGAACGUAUCCUGGAGUGGGGGAUAACGUAGCGAAAGUUACGCUAAUACCGCAUACGUCCUACGGGAGAAAGCAGGGGACCUUCGGGCCUUGCGCUAUCAGAUGAGCCUAGGUCGGAUUAGGCUAGUUGGUGGGUAAUGGCUCACCAAGGCGACGAUCCGUAACUGGUCUGAGAGGAUGAUCAGUCACACUGGAACUGAGACACGGUCCAGACUCCUACGGGAGGCAGCAGUGGGGAAUAUUGGACAAUGGGCGAAAGCCUGAUCCAGCCAUGCCGCGUGUGUGAAGAAGGUCUUCGGAUUGUAAAG